UCUUUGGCCUUCUGAUCUCUUCAGCUUUGUUUGGAGACAGUCUCUUUCUGCCACCCAGGCUGGAGUGCAAUGGUGCAAUCUUGGAUCACUGUAACCGCUGCCUCCAGGGUUCAAACGAUUCUCCUGCCUCAGCUUCCCAGGUAGCUGGGAUUACAGGCGUCUGCCACCACGCCCAGCUAAUUUUUGUAUUUUUAGUAGAGACGGUUUCACCACGUUUGCCAAGCUGGUCCCGAACUCCUGACCUCAGGUAAUCCACCUGCCUCGUCUUCAGUUUAGUUAUACCUUCUUUGACCCAGAAUUUGGUAAAGACCAGAGGGAGCCUCUUAAACAGAAUCUUACCUGUAAAACUCAGGAGCCGAGAAGCUUUAAGAACAGUGAGGUUGAAGGGCACAGGCUCUUGGUCCUUGGCAGCGAUAUUAGGAGGCGUGCCUAGGGAACCUCGGAUUCCGGGGAGCUGGACGUGAAACUCUGUGGUGGAAUAGAAAUCCUCAGGGCAUGAGCUAUACCUAAAACG
rnacentral:lncRNA from 1 species